rnacentral:lncRNA from 1 species
AUGGGUCAAAUUCAGAGCCCAAUUGUCCCCAAGAGGCAAUCUGAGCAUAUUGAGGAGGAUGUUCAAGUGCAGAAGAAGAAGAAGAAGAAGAAGAAAAGCCAUCCGAUUGUGGCUGCCUUCCAGUUUCUUUUAAUGCUGUCCUGUUGUGGAAUCAACUGUGAUGAAAGGGAAGAUAAUCACGCUAACUCUGAAAAUGUAAAUGAGAACCAGAGCAGAGAAACCUUGUCUUUUUCCUCUGUUAAGUUUAGAUCUUCCUCAGACAGAAAAAAGCCACCAGACCGUGAUUUUGAAAAGUCGAACAAGAAAUCUUCCAAAUCAACAUGUCCAGGGUCCUCCAGAAGAAAGAAAAGAGAUCAGCGGAAACCAGACCCAGAAAAGGCCAGACUGUCUAAGGACAAGAACAGAGGAUCAACCAGAUCUAAAAAAUUAGGUCAUCCUGGUGGAAACCAAACUCAAGUUGAGGAGAUCAGCAUUUCCCCAGAAUUGUUUCCAAACAGGCCUGUCACCAAGCCUCCUAGCAACGUAUCCGUCUGGUCAACAGUUUCAGUGUCCGUACAUUCUCCCAAGACUCUCCAAACCUCAGCUUUAACCUCAUGCCAAUCUGGCACAUCACUGUCGUCAGUGCAGACGUACACAUGUUCCACGGACUGUUCAUUGGACUGGCAGGUGUUGCCAGGUGUGCCAUCCCUAUCGUUUCCAGGAGAUGAGAGAGGCAAAACCACUGGUGAGAAACAGGCUGGCAGCACAUUUAGACAAUGUUUGAUAACCAUUAUUUCAGAAGAUUCCAGCACAUCUGACUCAGAUGACAUCUCAAGUGACAACCCACCCAGCUCUCUGACGUCAGUGAUUAGCUACCCCUGGUCAGAACUGUCAAGUCCUGAUCUGAGCAAACUUGGAAAGGAGACUCUCAUCGCUGGUGUACCUAAAACUGCUGAUGAGAGUGAUCAAGACCACAACAGCACCAUCAGAGAUCUGAACCCUACCAGGGGUGGUCAGAGCAGGUCAGAAAUUGAUACCAACCCUUCUGCCAAAGAAAGCACGACUGAGGGUGACGCCGCUGAAUAUAAACAGGACCCGAGCUCUAGCAGGCACACUACUCCUGAAAACCUGAGGCUGGAGGAACUGGAGAAGGAGGUUUCUCUGAGGGACAUCUCUGAUGAUCAAGCAACCUAA